rnacentral:sRNA from 1 species
AAUGAAGAAUAAAGAGUGGGCUAGUGACUUUCAGGGGAUAGAACAGAAGCGGUUAUUGAGCAUUUACUGCGUACCAAGUGCUGUCCUUGACAAGAAGACUUACACCCAGUGGUCCCAGAGGGAGACUUAGGAAGUGGGAGCACCUGUCAGAUCAUCAUCAAGGAACCAGAUUUACCUCCCACCUGAAACAAAUGAUGAACAAGCAAAAUCAUAAAAUAACUGUUUUUAGACAUUGAGCAUCAGGCAUUGAAGAACAGUGAUUCUUGAUAUUGGGAAGCAAGCCAACAAUUUCUGCUUCAGGGAGAGUUUUCCAAACCAAUUGUUAUUAAUGAGUCACACAUCGUGUCUGAUUUAUGAUUUAUUAAACUUUAUGCAUUAAAUACUUUCCAAACAAGACAA